GCAAAAGGAAAAGAAAACAAAGGAGAAUUACAUGGGUAAUAACCAAGCUGUAAUGAUUAGGAGAUAGAUAAGUCUCACAUUUGAUACUAUACAAAGUCUAUCCCUCAUGAGUCUCAUGCUUCACCAUUUCAUUUGUUUGAUCUGAUGCCAAUCCAAAACCCACAUAGCUCCAAGGCUGGACAUGGUAUCAAUAAGUAGAAACGGUUGGGAGAGGUACAAGUACAACCCUGUUUUCUGUACUCCUGGCGGCGUCGGCGCAGAACAGGUGCACUGCUUUAGUGUGCUCUUGCUACGUACCAUCAAGGAGUUUGGACAACAAAGGUGAAGAAAGCAACAGCAACAAUACAAAGAAGCAGUUCCCUGCAGAAAAGAAAGAUGGGGUCAUGGAAGAGCUCCAUAAUCAUGAAUUUCAUCUUCAAAAUAGGAGCAAUGGGGGCAGCUACAGGAGCAGAAGUGGGUCUAAUGGGCCUCACAUUGAACCACCUGCUCUCAAGAGUAAUCUCAAGAAAACAACAAUAGUUGAUGGUAAUCAACUACCGGUAGAAAAGAGGAAAGUUAGUUGGCCUGAUGCUCAUGGCAAAGAUAUUGCUCAUGUCCAUGAAUUUGAACCGAGUGUGUCAGAAGAUGGGGAACUUGAGGGAGUAAGGAACUCUUGCGUUUGUGCUAUUCAAUAAAACAACAUGUCUAAAGAUGUUUCGUAUGAUAUUCAUCACCGUACUGAUUUGAAAAUGUGUAGGUUGGCUCCUUUGUGUUUAAUGUGGGGUAUUUGGAGAGAGCGGAACUCAAGGAGCUUUAAAGAUUAUGAGAUUGUAAUGAGAGAGAGGAAGAAGAUGAUGUUCCAAUCCCUUUAUACUUGGAGAGUAGCAUGGAAUAGUUUGCUUGUUUCUAAAUUCUCUUAGCUUUCUGAGUUUUGUUUUUCUUUUUCUACUUUAAGGGUUAUCUUUGUAUACUUCUUGUGUACUAUGGUUAUGCUUCUAUGCGCUUUGAAUGAAUUUGCAUUACAUUUAAAAAGUA